GUGCCAGCCGCCGCGGUAAUACGAAGGGACCUAGCGUAGUUCGGAAUUACUGGGCUUAAAGAGCUCGUAGGUGGUUAGAAAAGUUGGUGGUGAAAUCCCAAGGCUUAACCUUGGAACUGCCACCAAAACUUUUUGACUAGAGUAUGAUAGAGGAAAGUGGAAUUUCUAGUGUAGAGGUGAAAUUCGUAGAUAUUAGAAAGAACACCAAUUGCGAAGGCAACUUUCUGGAUCAUUACUGACACUGAGGAGCGAAAGCAUGGGUAGCGAAGAGGAUUAGAUACCCUCGUAGUCCAUGCCGUAAACGAUGUGUGCUAGACGUUGGAAAUUUAGUUUUCAGUGUCGCAGCAAAAGCGUUAAGCACACCGCCUGGGGAGUACGACCGCAAGGUUAAAACUCAAAUGAAUUGACGGGGACCCGCACAAGUAGUGGAGCAUGUGGUUUAAUUCGAAGAUACGCGCAGAACCUUACCAACACUUGACAUGUUCGUCGCGACUCUAAGAGAUUGGAGUCAUCGGUUCGGCCGGACGAAACACAGGUGCUGCAUGGCUGUCGUCAGCUCGUGUCGUGAGAUGUUGGGUUAAGUCCCGCAACGAGCGCAACCCUUACUUUUAGUUGCUACCAUUUAGUUGGGCACUCUAAAAGAACUGCCAGUGAUAAGCUGGAGGAAGGUGGGGAUGACGUCAAGUCCUCAUGGCCCUUAUGUGUUGGGCUACACACGUGCUACAAUGGUACUUACAGUGAGAAGCGAAGAGGCGACUCCAAGCUAAUCCCAAAAAGGUACCUCAGUUCGGAUUGUACUCUGCAACUCGAGUACAUGAAGCUGGAAUUACUAGUAAUCGCGGAUCAGCGCGCCGCGGUGAAUACGUUCCCGGGUCUUGCACACACUGCCCGUC
rnacentral:rRNA from 1 species